rnacentral:lncRNA from 1 species
CUCACACCAUCCCAAUUAAGGCAAUUAGCAGUGACCAAGGGCAACUGCAAAGCUCCAAUUAAACCAGCACAAAGGCUAACACGAUCUACAGUGUCAUGGAGCAGGUUUGGAGCAUGCUUCCCCCUACAGCCACUUCCUGGCAGAUUAAAGGAAUGUGAGUCAGCAGUUGCAGCAGUGGCUGCAUCCGGAGGGUGAGUGAA